GAUGAACGCUAGCGGCGGGCUUAAUACAUGCAAGUCGAGGGGUGGUAGCAAUACUACACCGGCGCACGGGUGCGUAACGCGUAUGCAAUCUACCUUUAUCUGGGGGAUAGCCCGGGGAAACCCGGAUUAAUACCGCAUAACAAAUUUCUUGGCAUCAAGAGAUUUUAAAAGAUUUAUCGGAUAGAGAUGAGCAUGCGUAAGAUUAGAUAGUUGGCGAGGUAACGGCUCACCAAGGCUACGAUCUUUAGGGGCUCUGAGAGGAGAAUCCCCCACACUGGGACGGAGAUACGGGCCAGACUCCUACGGGAGGCAGCAGUAGGGAAUAUUGGGCAAUGGGCGCAAGCCUGACCCAGCCACGCCGCGUGCAGGAAGAAGGCCCUCUGGGUUGUAAACUGCUUUUGACUGGGAAGAAAAGACUCCUUGCGAGGAGAGUUGACGGUACCAGCAGAAUAAGCCACGGCUAACUACGUGCCAGCAGCCGCAGUAACAC
rnacentral:rRNA from 1 species